CAGUCGCCACGGUAAUACGAAGGGGGCUAGCGUUGUUCGGAAUCACUGGGCUUAAAGCGCGUGUAGGCGGGACGGUGCGUCGGCCGCUGAAAUCCCCUGGCUCAACCGGGGAACGGGCGCCGAUACGGCCGUCCUGGAGGGAGGUAGGGGGAGCUGGAACUUCCGGUGGAGCGGUGAAAUGCGUUGAGAUCGGAAGGAACGCCCGCGGCGAAAGCGAGCUCCUGGACCUCUUCUGACGCUGAGACGCGAAAGCCAGGGGAGCGAACGGGAUUAGAUACCCGCGUAGUCCCUGUCUCUUAUU
rnacentral:rRNA from 1 species